rnacentral:lncRNA from 1 species
UGCUGGGCUGCAGCUGCCCCUCACCAGCUGGUGACUCAGAGCCUGGGCAGGAUGACAGUGCCGAUUGGGCCCUCGCAACCCUCUGAGCCUUCUGUGAAUCAGCCUGCGGUGAGGCUGCGCCCGGGCUCCCGGGUGGGGCACCUCCACCCCAGCCUGGCCCUCCUUCCUCUCCCCUUUAGGUCUUGCUGAUUUCUGUCCUCCAGGUCUUCUCAGUAGAAUGAGGAUAAUCCUGAAUUCAGAACAUAUUUCCUGAGUACGGUGAGUGCCCAGGAGAUGGGGGCUGAGAGCUGGCUCCUGCGCUCCUGAGAGCACAGUUUCCUGGGCAGGAGCAGAGAGAAGGCCCAGAGGAAGAUGGGAGGGAGGCAAGGCAAAGGAUGCUGUGGGGAGAGCCCAGAGCUGGGCCGCAGGCUCCAUCAAUGAGGAACACUUCCACAGCCCUUCUUUGCUUUUAUGAGUACAGUAGUGGUUCUCAGCUGGAGGAUUUCUCCUACAGUCGGAGGGAAAACCCGGGAAUGAGGAAUGCUGAUGGACAUAGCACUAUCAGAGGACUUGAUCCUGUUUCUCAGAGAGGAAGACAGACACUCUUAGCAUAAUGAGGGUCAAAAGUUGGGCCAGGCCGGGCACGGUGGCUCACGCCUGUAAUCCCAGCACUUUGGGAGGC